rnacentral:rRNA from 1 species
AGAGUGAACGCUGGCGGUAGGCCUAACACAUGCAAGUCGAACGGCAGCACAGGAGAGCUUGCUCUCUGGGUGGCGAGUGGCGGACGGGUGAGGAAUACAUCGGAAUCUACCUUUUCGUGGGGGAUAACGUAGGGAAACUUACGCUAAUACCGCAUAAGACCUUCGGGUGAAAGCCGGGGACCUUCGGGCCUGGCGCGGAUAGAUGAGCCGAUGUCGGAUUAGCUUGUGGCGGGUAAAGCCCACCAAGGCGACGAUCCGUAGCUGGUCUGAGAGGAUGAUCAGCCACACUGGAACUGAGACACGGUCCAGACUCCCACGGGAGGCAGCAGUGGGGAAUAUUGGACAAUGGGCGCAAGCCUGAUCCAGCCAUACCGCGUGGGUGAAGGAGGCCUUCGGUUGUAAAGCCCUUUAGUUGGAAAGAAAUCCGUAGCCGGUUAAUAACCAAGUACGGAUGACGUAACCAAAGAAUAAGCACCGGACUAAC